ensembl:lncRNA
AAAAAAAAAAAAAAAAACAACCAACCAAAGCAUGCAAUCAUUUUUGCUGUGGAUUGCAAAUAGUUACUCCAUGGGGAAGAUCAUUCAUCAGAGCAGAUUGAUUUUUAUCAAGUCAAUUACAGUCAGCUGCUUGCUAUCAGGCUUUGCAUGGUAGGACUCACCGCCUCACCCAGGUGCAGAGGGGCUGGUUUCACUGUGUUGAGUGAAGUUAAGCUUUGAGGUAUGGAUUGGAGCUGAUAAGGCAAUGUUUGUAAUGUCGGUAAUUACAAUAGGCUUUGCUUCAGUGCAAUAUUAAUUAUAUUUUGUAGAAUGUGGAGUUAAGCUUACUAAGAGGCUGAAAGAUGAAGUUUUGAACCAAAAUUCAAACCUAGCAUGCCAACUCUUAGGCUGUCUUAGGGGUCUGCUCACGAAGCUUGAUUACGAGUAGAGUCCCACUUGUUUGGGAUCUUGCUCCGAAGGCAGUACAGGGAUGUCUACAGUGCUUACAGUAAGAGCUGGAAAAGAUGAAGCAACUAGAUAGCAGAAAAAGAAAAAUACUGAGCGGACACUGACCGUCUUAAUAAUUGGACUUUUGGAGUUGUUCUGCGCUGUAAAAUAAUUGUUUCCUCUGAAGAUGCAAAAGAAUUCAGCUCACUCAUCUUCUCAGCUGUGUUAGUUUUGCAAGACUAAGGCCACAAAAUCAAAUUGUUGAGAAGACAGAAUUAUCGUGAGAAAUGCAAACAAGCGUUUGGAAGGGCAGAGCACAAGAAUCUCUUAAAACAGGUUAGCCACUGAUGAAAAAAAAAUUCUUAAUUCUUUUGGCAGCUGAUAUGCUUUGAGAUAAUUUUAUUUCCUUGCUAACUUUUCCAUCAUCCCCACUGAACAUCCCUGCCCCAAUGGUUAACUCAAAUGACAAAUCAUGUGUUGAUACUGCUGUGCUCUAGCUGAAGGAUUACAUCUCCCCAAUCUUUUUUUUUUUUUUUAACAUUUUUUAAGCAUAAGUAGUGGUUGUGUUACAAAACAAAGUUUGGAACUCAAGUGUCAGCCAUGCAGAAGAUUUUUACAUGUUGGACAGCUUGCUGGAUAUUCUCUUCAAAGAGGAGGAUUUUUUGGUAUUUAGUGGUUCAGUGGAAACUUUGGUAUUUUUUGGUUUAGAGGAGGAUUUGUAUCUUUUUCUUCUGUCUUUGUUUUCAAAACUUUUUCUCCUGAAGUUCACAGUGGCUGAGUUUAACAAAGCAGAUGCAUUUACUGUAAGUAGGAGUAAGUGGUGGCCUUUUGCAUGUUUGUCAUUUAAUGUUGCAGAAUAUAUCAAGCAGAUUUGAUUUUUUUUUUUUAAUAAAAAUAAAAAUUAGGAUGACUGGAGUGGGUAUCGUUCAACUGGGGAAAAUAACCUGUUUCAGCAACAGGAGCUCAGGAGUUGAGUUGCUGAUAUUUUCCCAUAGCUGAAAUGUGUUAAGGCUGGACAAAUGCAAGUAUUUCCCAUAGGGUAGAUAUGCCUGCAUAAAUCAAGAUAAAAUAGCAUCCAAAUGUAUUGGGGCAUCCGAUGUGCAUCACAAGUGAUCUCUGCAAAGAAAAAAAGGAGGGGAAAAAAAUCCCUUUUAGUUUUCCGUAUUUUGUCUAAUAAUUUAUUUCUCGUGGCAUGAAAGUAUCUGUGUAUUUCUUUAAACUUGUGUGGCUAACCAAAAAUAUGCAAAAGAGGUGGUAUUUUUAGCUGCGUGGAAAGAAUUACUAGAAAUAUGGGUUCACUUAGCAAAAUCCUCUGCUUACCGUUGGCAAAUAUAUGCUCCAAUGGAGACAUGAAACACUCCUUGAUUAUUUUAUUAUAUCAACGACCUGAACAAGAAUUUCAUGCUUCACUGAACCUGAUUUUAAAUAAAAUUGAGAGAAG